GCCCCUUCUUCACAUCUCACACUGAGUUUCAAACCAGCGUCGCCUACCUUGGGAAUCCGGCGAUCCGACGCCUCGUCCGGUCGGUGCCUCCUUCACCCCCCUCCCCCUCUCGCCAGACUCUCACCCUCCAUCUUUAUUCUUCUUAUCGAUCUCUUAUAAUUUCAGGAAGCACACUCUUACAUGAGAAUCGAGCCCUAGCUUCUCUUCAAACUUGCCGCAGCCGUGGCUCUUCUCCGGCGAGACGGCGCCACCGUCUGCUCUCCUAUCUCUCUUCUCUCCUCUUUUCUCAAUUACAUCACUCCCUCUGAACUUUGAAUCCAUCGCACAUAAAGGGCAAUGCCGAGCCGCAGGUUCUCUCGGCUUCGGCGACAUCGCCGCCGCAGCUGCCUGGGCUCGCUCACUGCGCCGUCGCGCCUGGAGUCAGCGUCUCCUUCCUCGAUCCUCCGGUGGGCGGUUAAUUAGGGCAGGGCGGCGUCCGUUGCUCCCCCCCCCCCUUUUCACUCGCGUACACGAACGAGGGAAAUGCCAAACCCUCAGUCCUCUUAGCUCAGGCGAGAGAGUCACCGCCGUCUGCCCUCUGGUUCAGCGGAACAGACAAGUCGCCCCCUUCUCGAUUUAUUGAAUCAGGUACAGUAAAAUACCCCCCAUUCCCCUUAAAAUUUUAAGUUCGGUGUUACACAACGUGAAGGGAAUUCUCAUACUAUAAUAUAUGUAUUUUGAGUUAUUAGAGCAAGGGGAAGUGUGACAGGCUGACAUUCUAAUUCUGUAAACAUGCUGGAUUAAACAUACUACAGGACUCAUGGUUUGCUAUGUUCAUAUGCGUAUGCUUGUUUACACACUCUGUAUUUCUAUACAACAUGUAUGAAGUAUGGAUUGGAUUUGAAUAAGCUAAGCUUAGUAUUUACCUUGCAAUUGUUUGGUGUUUGGCCGUCUGUUGUUGCUGUUGAAUUCAUUGGGGAAGAAGCUGAAAAGAAUUGUGGGUUCAUCUUAAUAAAUGCAGGUUGAUUAAGAAUGGAAUGGGGAGUUAAAGCCAAAGCUUACCCUCCCUUGAAGUCUGGUAGCAGCAGCAAAUUCUUCUGCUCUCUCUCUCUUUCUUCAAAUUCUUGUGCACUAAGGAAAUUUGAAGGGAUUGUCGGGUGUAGUAUAAAGGGGUAGAUGGGCUGUCAUAGGGUGGCUGAUAGAGGGUGGUUGAAAGAC
rnacentral:lncRNA from 1 species